CCCUUAGAUGUUCUGGGCCGCACACGCGCUACACUGAAGGAGGCAGCGUGUACUCCUGGAUCGAAAGAUUUGGGUAACCCGCGAAUCUCCUUCGUGCUAGGGAUUGAGGUUUGCAAUUAUCCUUCAUGAACGAGGAAUUCCCAGUAAGUGCAAGUCAUAAGCUUGCGCUGACUACGUCCCUGCCCUUUGUACACACCUCCCGUCGCUACUACCGAUUGAAUGAUUUAGUGAGGACUUCGGACUGGGACCGAUGCGGCUUUCGGGCUGCGUCGGUAUUCUGGAAAGAUGUCCAAACUGUAUCAUUUAGAGGAAGUAAAANUCGUAACA
rnacentral:rRNA from 1 species